UACGAAGGGGGCUAGCGUUGCUCGGAAUCACUGGGCGUAAAGCGCACGUAGGCGGAUCGUUAAGUCAGGGGUGAAAUCCUGGAGCUCAACUCCAGAACUGCCUUUGAUACUGGCGACCUUGAGUUCGGGAGAGGUGAGUGGAACUGCGAGUGUAGAGGUGAAAUUCGUAGAUAUUCGCAAGAACACCAGUGGCGAAGGCGGCUCACUGGCCCGAUACUGACGCUGAGGCACGAAAGCGUGGGGAGCAAACAGGAUUAGAUGACCCUAGUAACGUUCAGACC
rnacentral:rRNA from 1 species